AUUUAUAUAGUUUAAUAAAACAUUACAUUUUCACUGUAAAAAUAAAUAUUUUUAUUUUAUAAAUA
rnacentral:tRNA from 1 species